AAGAACUCUCCUCCGAUCUCUUUCGGGUUAGCAGGAGCCUGGAAGGGGCUUUGCCGAUCUCCCGAAUUUCAAUUUUAGCUACAUGUCACAAGAACCUAAAACUAAGGUUUCUGGCAUUCAAAACGCUGGAGAUAAGGUUUCUUGAUACCCUAUGACUAAAUGGGUAAUACUAAACUUGAUUUACCGACCUUCCAUGUAGUCAUUUCACGCAUACCUAUUAAUGUCCGAUCUGUUCUGUCUAGUUUAUUUUGGUUUUAUUCCUCUUCAUGGUAUCUUGCCGAAUUCCCGUUCACGUCAGCCUAAUAGUUUGGCUAUUUUCCUG
rnacentral:misc_RNA from 1 species